AUAUCACUUCGUAUAUAUACAACAGCUCUAUAAAUACGCAAUGCACGGCUCAAGGUCACACACAAUACAAACAAGAGAGCUAGCUCUAGCUGCUCCAGUAACUAGCUAGCUGCUUAAGCUUCUCUAAGUGAUCUCUCCCUAGUCCCUAUACAGCACUGACAUUUUUAUAUCUACAUUUAGACGGAGUUGCACCGACGAUUAUAUUAACAGUAAUAAUGCAGGGCCUCACGCCAUUAUCUUACAAGCUCAGCUUGAUCAGUAUCGUCGUCAUCUUGCUGACCACCGGCAUCGUCGGCGUCGCCCAUGGCCGCAAGAAGCUCGUCUCGAGCUCCGACGGCGAGCCGUGCCACAAGAUGACGGUCUACUGCCACGACAUCCUCUACGACGGCACCAACACGGCGAACGCGACGUCGGCGGUGGCGGCGCAGCCGACGCUGCUGAGCAGGUCGGUGUCCGUCAACGACACCUUCUUCGGUGAGGUGGUGGUGUUCAACGACGUGGUGACGGCGGGGCGCGCGCUGGCGUCGGAGCCGGUGGCGCGCGCCGAGGGCUUCUACUUCUACGACAAGAAGGAGUCGCUGAGCGCAUGGUUCGCCUUCUCGCUCGUGUUCAACUCCACGGCGCACAGGGGCACGCUCAACCUCAUGGGCGCCGACAUCAUCGCCGACAAGACACGGGACAUCUCCGUCGUUGGCGGCACCGGCGACUUCUUCAUGGCGCGCGGCGUCGCCACCCUUCGAACCGACGCCUUUGAGGGCCUCAACUACUUCAGGCUGCAGAUGGAUAUCAAGCUCUACGAGUGCUACGUCUAAUAAAGUCUAGUCACGCGCUGCUUCAAACGUGGCAAGAUAUAGAUGUUGGUUUGAUCUCCCACCAAUAUGGCCCAACGGCCUUAUUGGGCCUUGUCUCGCGCCCUGAUCGGGGGCGCCCAACCCUAUAUGGUUGGUGGGCCCCGUCGCACUGCGCUAUAAAUAAGAGGUGGGGGCCGGCGGCACUGUUCACGAGUUGAAUAGUUGCCACUCCUCCCCACCGACAUCCACAAACCCUAGAAACCCUAACAGAUCCAGGGAGCGCAGCCAGCGACGGGAAAACUCACCGACGCCGGAUCUGCGCCACCUCGACAUCCGCAUCACCGCCACCAUCGACGUCCUCGAAGAUCCACUCCACCACCGACGUGAUGGCCUCGGGAUCGUCUUCCGCCGCCCCUGCUGCUCCUUCUCUCGACGAUAUUUCUUUCACUAUUAAAUUCGAACCAACGGGAGAAUUUAAUCUUUGAACAUAGAUAUGUUUUCCAGAUUAUUAUAAUAUUGUUAUUAUUCUGACCAACGUUGAUUAAUGGCAGUAUUAUGAUGUGAUUAAAAGAUUAUUAUGCAUUAAUUCUAUUUCUGCCCAACGGUGAUAUAGUUUUAUUGCAUAAACAGUUGUAUGUUUUAAUUUUGACCAACGUUGAUACUAAGGCAUACAAUUGUGAUUAUUUAUGUUCUCACCCAGAGGUUUGUG